AAAGUUAAGUUCUUGUGGGUGAUGUUUUCAGCAUGUUUUUACAUACGAGUUUCUGGUCACAUAAACCGGUGGAAUAAUUGCUUUUCCUCAAUGAAGCUUGGUGAUGAGACUGGGGAAGAAUGGUGUGGAGGAAGUUUCGGAAUUGGGUCCUCUCUGAAACUUGGCUUUGCAGCUCCGAAAGUGACCAUACUUAUAGCUAAUUAGCUCACUUGCAACAUUUGAUGUUUGUAGGAGAAAGAUAUUGAGGGGUUGAGAUAAGGAAGGAAGCACUCUGGGCAUGCUUUGCAGUGGAACCUGAUUUUGAGGCAAUGAUUUCGACUUUAGCUUGUUAUCUGUCUAUUCAGUGAACUAGAAUUACUUCAAAGUUAGAGAGAAGGGGUUAGAAUGGCAUUGUGAAAAGUAUAACAGACCAUUGUGGACAAUCACUGCAUUAGAAUGGCAUUAUGUGGUUCCGGAUGCAACUAGUGACCAUGAAAUUCGGAAGGAAUCUGUAGGAGAAGAAGGGAAUCCAUAUUCAAGCUGUGAUAGAGCAAUGGACUGAGUUUCAAUAUGUUCAUAUUCUAAUAGUGCAAUAUUGGAAUUUUUGUUAAGUGUUACUCUUGGUUGUCUUCAUUAGGUGCUUGGUUUUGGGCAUAACUUUGUAUUUCUUCUAAUUACAUAUUUGGAUGAAUGCAUCAACUUAAUUACAUUGCUAUGAAA